rnacentral:rRNA from 1 species
UAUGGUAUCGGAACGUACUUUCAGUGGGGGAUAACGUACGAAAGUUACGCUAAUACCGCAUAUUCUGUGAGCAGGAAAGCAGGGGAUCGCAAGACCUUGCGCUGAUUGAGCGGCCGAUAUCAGAUUACUAGUUGGUGAGGUAAAGGCUCACCAAGGGCGACGAAUCUGUACGGGUCUGAAGGGUGAUCCGCCACACUGGAACUGAACACGGUCCAACUCCUACGGGAGGCACAUGGGGAAUUUGGACAAUGGGCGCAAGCCUGAUCCAGCCAUGCCGCGUGAGUGAAGAAGGCCUUCGGGUUGUAGAGCCCUUUCAGCCGGGAAGAAAACGCAUGGGUUAAUACCCUGUGUGGAUGACGGUACCGGAAUAAGAAGCACCGGCUAACUACGUGCCAGCAGCCGCGGUAAUACGUAGGGUGCGAGCGUUAAUCGGAAUUACUGGGCGUAAAGCGUGCGCAGGCGGUUUGUUAAGAUAGGCGUGAAAUCCCCGGGCUCAACCUGGGAACUGCGUUUAUGACUGGCAGGCUAGAGUAUGGCAGAGGGGGGUGGAAUUCCACGUGUAGCAGUGAAAUGCGUAAGAUGUGGAGGAACACCGAUGGC